GCUUGAUGGAGGAUUGGCUGACUCCAAAGUCAAGCGCAUGACAGUAAUCCAACCGGGAUGUGACAAAGGCAUGAAUGACUGUUGGAAAGUGCGAUUUUAGUUUAUUCCGGUUCAGUCCUGUAGGUGUCAGUAGCAUUCCGUGACUUUGCACAAAUCACGAUUUUGCAGGAAAGACACUGACACAGCCACUGACGUGGGAUACGGGGCACCCACUUCGAUCGCCCACAGCAAUUGUCAUUCUUGGACAAGGUGUGCACAGGACACAGGAGGUGCGCCAACUCGGUCAUGGUAUUGAAGAAGCAGUGUGUGGUGUGCAGGAGAGAAGAAGAGGUACACCAGCAGUGUCGGAAUCAAGAAGAGUGUGGAUGGCUUGAAAUAUUUUGGCCCUUUUGAUCCAGCUGAGGGUCUUUCAGGGGUGUGCCGGGAGCUUGAACAGAGUGCAUGGCUAAAAACAUUCCCAAAGUUUUUUUUUUUUUAGCUUGUGUCUGUAUAUAAAAAAAGUUUGCCGCAUAGAACGGGCGCACGGUUUCAAAUGUUUUGAUAAGGUUGGUAAAAAACGGAUCUGAAGGUGUUUGGGGGCUUAAGCAUGUUUGCGUUGUGAAAGGCUGAUCUCGCUGAGGCGGGGGUGCGCCAACUGGCGGAAUCUGGGAUGUUCAGGGAAAGGCUGUUCUCGCUAUGGACGCGUGUGUAGGGGGAUGAGGUGCGCUCGCUCUGUCAAAGUUUGGGGACGUUUGUGAUCAUGUUGAGGGGGUGCGCCAAUUACGUGGAAAUUUUGUGAAAAGCUGUCUUGAGGGGACGCUUGUACCUCCAUCCCUGAAGUCCAGUGGAAAGAUGUUGGGGAUUAGCUGUUGAUUUAGGCCGCCUCUUGGGGUGUGCUUGCUGUCAUUUGUUUAAAAAAAAAAAAAAAAAAAAAUCUCCCGGCCAAUUAGCUGUCAGAGCUCUCUCGAGUCUGGCCCCGGGGGGGGGGGGGGGGGGGGGGGGGGGGGGGGGGUACAGUAAUACGCCUGUGCGCCGAGUCGCAGCCAAAUUAUCCAAAUUGUCCCCAUAUGCCUCUGCUAGUCUGUCUGCAUGAGUCCUGUUUCUAAAUCCUCACGGCUCCCCCCGAAGAACACGUGUGCUUCUGCUCAGCCAAUCAGGAAGCGGUCGUCGAGCGCGCGGCCCCUCCCCGAUACCAUAAAAAUGAUGGCGGCUUCCAUGCCAGCUUUGCAAUCAGAAGGCCCUGUCGC